UUAAGUUAUUAAGGGCGCACGGUGGAUGCCUUGGCACUAGAAGCCGAUGAAGGACGUUACUAACGACGAUAUGCUUUGGGGAGCUGUAAGUAAGCUUUGAUCCAGAGAUUUCCGAAUGGGGAAACCCAGCAUGAGUUAUGUCAUGUUAUCGAUAUGUGAAUACAUAGCAUAUCAGAAGGCACACCCGGAGAACUGAAACAUCUUAGUACCCGGAGGAAGAGAAAGAAAAUUCGAUUCCCUUAGUAGCGGCGAGCGAAACGGGAAGAGCCCAAACCAAAAAGCUUGCUUGUUGGGGUUGUAGGACACUCUAUACGGAGUUACAAAGGACGACAUUAGACGAAUCAUCUGGAAAGAUGAAUCAAAGAAGGUAAUAAUCCUGUAGUCGAAAAUGUUGUCUCUCUUGAGUGGAUCCUGAGUAAGACGGAGCACGUGAAAUUCCGUCGGAAUCUGGGAGGACCAUCUCCUAAGGCUAAAUACUCUCUAGUGACCGAUAGUGAACCAGUACCGUGAGGGAAAGGUGAAAAGCACCCCGGAAGGGGAGUGAAAUAGAACCUGAAACCGUGUGCUUACAAGUAGUCAGAGCCCGUUAAUGGGUGAUGGCGUGCCUUUUGUAGAAUGAACCGGCGAGUUACGAUUUGAUGCAAGGUUAAGCAGUAAAUGUGGAGCCGUAGCGAAAGCGAGUCUGAAUAGGGCGUUUAGUAUUUGGUCGUAGACCCGAAACCAGGUGAUCUACCCUUGGUCAGGUUGAAGUUCAGGUAACACUGAAUGGAGGACCGAACCGACUUACGUUGAAAAGUGAGCGGAUGAACUGAGGGUAGCGGAGAAAUUCCAAUCGAACCUGGAGAUAGCUGGUUCUCUCCGAAAUAGCUUUAGGGCUAGCCUCAAGUGAUGAUUAUUGGAGGUAGAGCACUGUUUGGACGAGGGGCCCCUCUCGGGUUACCGAAUUCAGACAAACUCCGAAUGCCAAUUAAUUUAACUUGGGAGUCAGAACAUGGGUGAUAAGGUCCGUGUUCGAAAGGGAAACAGCCCAGACCACCAGCUAAGGUCCCAAAAUAUAUGUUAAGUGGAAAAGGAUGUGGCGUUGCCCAGACAACUAGGAUGUUGGCUUAGAAGCAGCCAUCAUUUAAAGAGUGCGUAAUAGCUCACUAGUCGAGUGACACUGCGCCGAAAAUGUACCGGGGCUAAACAUAUUACCGAAGCUGUGGAUUGUCCUUUGGACAAUGGUAGGAGAGCGUUCUAAGGGCGUUGAAGCAUGAUCGUAAGGACAUGUGGAGCGCUUAGAAGUGAGAAUGCCGGUGUGAGUAGCGAAAGACGGGUGAGAAUCCCGUCCACCGAUUGACUAAGGUUUCCAGAGGAAGGCUCGUCCGCUCUGGGUUAGUCGGGUCCUAAGCUGAGGCCGACAGGCGUAGGCGAUGGAUAACAGGUUGAUAUUCCUGUACCACCUAUAAUCGUUUUAAUCGAUGGGGGGACGCAGUAGGAUAGGCGAAGCGUGCGAUUGGAUUGCACGUCUAAGCAGUAAGGCUGAGUAUUAGGCAAAUCCGGUACUCGUUAAGGCUGAGCUGUGAUGGGGAGAAGACAUUGUGUCUUCGAGUCGUUGAUUUCACACUGCCGAGAAAAGCCUCUAGAUAGAAAAUAGGUGCCCGUACCGCAAACCGACACAGGUAGUCAAGAUGAGAAUUCUAAGGUGAGCGAGCGAACUCUCGUUAAGGAACUCGGCAAAAUGACCCCGUAACUUCGGGAGAAGGGGUGCUCUUUAGGGUUAACGCCCAGAAGAGCCGCAGUGAAUAGGCCCAAGCGACUGUUUAUCAAAAACACAGGUCUCUGCUAAACCGUAAGGUGAUGUAUAGGGGCUGACGCCUGCCCGGUGCUGGAAGGUUAAGAGGAGUGGUUAGCUUCUGCGAAGCUACGAAUCGAAGCCCCAGUAAACGGCGGCCGUAACUAUAACGGUCCUAAGGUAGCGAAAUUCCUUGUCGGGUAAGUUCCGACCCGCACGAAAGGCGUAACGAUUUGGGCACUGUCUCAACGAGAGACUCGGUGAAAUCAUAGUACCUGUGAAGAUGCAGGUUACCCGCGACAGGACGGAAAGACCCCGUGGAGCUUUACUGUAGCCUGAUAUUGAAAUUCGGCACAGCUUGUACAGGAUAGGUAGGAGCCUUUGAAACGUGAGCGCUAGCUUACGUGGAGGCGCUGGUGGGAUACUACCCUAGCUGUGUUGGCUUUCUAACCCGCACCACUUAUCGUGGUGGGAGACAGUGUCAAGCGGGCAGUUUGACUGGGGCGGUCGCCUCCUAAAAGGUAACGGAGGCGCUCAAAGGUUCCCUCAGAAUGGUUGGAAAUCAUUCAUAGAGUGUAAAGGCAUAAGGGAGCUUGACUGCGAGACCUACAAGUCGAGCAGGGUCGAAAGACGGACUUAGUGAUCCGGUGGUUCCGCAUGGAAGGGCCAUCGCUCAACGGAUAAAAGCUACCCCGGGGAUAACAGGCUUAUCUCCCCCAAGAGUUCACAUCGACGGGGAGGUUUGGCACCUCGAUGUCGGCUCAUCGCAUCCUGGGGCUGUAGUCGGUCCCAAGGGUUGGGCUGUUCGCCCAUUAAAGCGGUACGCGAGCUGGGUUCAGAACGUCGUGAGACAGUUCGGUCCCUAUCCGUCGUGGGCGUAGGAAAUUUGAGAGGAGCUGUCCUUAGUACGAGAGGACCGGGAUGGACAUACCUCUGGUGUACCAGUUGUCGUGCCAACGGCAUAGCUGGGUAGCUAUGUGUGGACGGGAUAAGUGCUGAAAGCAUCUAAGCAUGAAGCCCCCCUCAAGAUGAGAUUUCCCAACUUCGGUUAUAAGAUCCCUCAAAGAUGAUGAGGUUAAUAGGUUCGAGGUGGAAGCAUGGUGACAUGUGGAGCUGACGAAUACUAAUCGAUCGAAGACUUAAUCAA
rnacentral:rRNA from 1 species